GGGUUUUUGAUGGAGGGUUUGAUCCUGGCUCAGGACGAACGCUGGCGGCGUGCUUAACACAUGCAAGUCGAACGGUAAGGCUCCAGCUUGCUGGGGUACACGAGUGGCGAACGGGUGAGUAACACGUGGGUGACCUGCCCUGCACUUCGGGAUAAGCCUGGGAAACUGGGUCUAAUACCGGAUAGGACCAUGGUGUGGAUGCUGUGGUGGAAAGUUUUUUCGGUGUGGGAUGGGCCCGCGGCCUAUCAGCUUGUUGGUGGGGUAAUGGCCUACCAAGGCGGCGACGGGUAGCCGGCCUGAGAGGGUGGACGGCCACAUUGGGACUGAGACACGGCCCAGACUCCUACGGGAGGCAGCAGUGGGGAAUAUUGCACAAUGGGCGGAAGCCUGAUGCAGCGACGCCGCGUGGGGGAUGACGGCCUUCGGGUUGUAAACUCCUUUCACCAUCGACGAAGGGUUUCUGACGGUAGAUGGAGAAGAAGCACCGGCUAACUACGUGCCAGCAGCCGCGGUAAUACGUAGGGUGCGAGCGUUGUCCGGAAUUACUGGGCGUAAAGAGCUCGUAGGUGGUUUGUCGCGUCGUCUGUGAAAUUCCGGGGCUUAACUCCGGGCGUGCAGGCGAUACGGGCAUAACUUGAGUACUGUAGGGGAGACUGGAAUUCCUGGUGUAGCGGUGAAAUGCGCAGAUAUCAGGAGGAACACCGGUGGCGAAGGCGGGUCUCUGGGCAGUAACUGACGCUGAGGAGCGAAAGCAUGGGGAGCGAACAGGAUUAGAUACCCUGGUAGUCCAUGCCGUAAACGGUGGGCGCUAGGUGUGGGUUUCCUUCCACGGGAUCCGUGCCGUAGCUAACGCAUUAAGCGCCCCGCCUGGGGAGUACGGCCGCAAGGCUAAAACUCAAAGGAAUUGACGGGGGCCCGCACAAGCGGCGGAGCAUGUGGAUUAAUUCGAUGCAACGCGAAGAACCUUACCUGGGCUUGACAUAUACAGGAUCGCGCCAGAGAUGGUGUUUCCCUUGUGGCUUGUAUACAGGUGGUGCAUGGUUGUCGUCAGCUCGUGUCGUGAGAUGUUGGGUUAAGUCCCGCAACGAGCGCAACCCUUGUCUUAUGUUGCCAGCACGUUGUGGUGGGGACUCGUAAGAAACUGCCGGGGUUAACUCGGAGGAAGGUGGGGAUGACGUCAAAUCAUCAUGCCCCUUAUGUCCAGGGCUUCACACAUGCUACAAUGGUCGGUACAGUGGGUUGCCAGUCCGUGAGGGCGAGCUAAUCCCGUAAAGCCGGUCUCAGUUCGGAUCGGGGUCUGCAACUCGACCCCGUGAAGUCGGAGUCGCUAGUAAUCGCAGAUCAGCAACGCUGCGGUGAAUACGUUCCCGGGCCUUGUACACACCGCCCGUCACGUCAUGAAAGUCGGUAACACCCGAAGCCAGUGGCCUAAACUCGUUAGGGAGCUGUCGAAGGUGGGAUUGGCGAUUGGGACGAAGUCGUAACAAGGUAGCCGUACCGGAAGGUGCGGCUGGAUCACCUCCUUUCUAAGGAGA
rnacentral:rRNA from 1 species